rnacentral:tRNA from 1 species
CCUCGUAUAGUUAAGUGGCAUAACGCCGCCGCCUCACGGCGGUGUCGUCGGUUCGAUCCCGUCUGCGAGGG